AUGGAUAAAUAUGUGUAGAAAUUGUGGAUCAAGAUGGGAAGUCAUCUCUGCUUUCGCUUGUCAAAGCAUUUGACUCUGUUUUUGACGUCUAUGAAGGUUUCUGCAACCUCAAACAGGUGGAUCUCAAGCUUAAGAUUUGCAGAGGUACAUCAAAUAAGAAAAUUUUAGUUCGGGAAGCACAAUCAUAUUCUGCUGCUACUGUUAUUGUUGGAACUGGUCAUAACCACAUUAAAUUGCGGCCAUCGACCUCGCUGGCUAAGUACUGUGCUAAAAAAUUGUCCAAGGAUUGUUGGGUUCUUGCGGUUAAUAAUGGGAAAGUUGUGUUCAAGAGAGAAGGCUCUCCAACAAGUGCAAGCUAAUCCAAAGGAACUGAAGAUCAUCAUCGAAACGGGUUGCUUAGAAUGAUUCAAGAGACACUGAAGAAGAACACAAAAGUACCGAACGAAGGCAAUGCUAGUGUGAGUUUAAAGGAGAGAUUUGAGAAUGGUACUUAAGAAUUUGAGGUGAAUAUGCAUCUUGUGUACAACCUUUGGGUUAUGUCGUUUAUGCAAACUGGAACGAUCGAUGUAUUGAGCAGGGAGUGAUGGAAUGAUGAUUGAUUGCGAUUUCAUGCUAAUAAACCCUUUGUUUGUCUCUUUACAUGGCUUUGUUGGUAGUUUUUAAGAAAAGGUCAGUUAGGCCUGCACCAUGAAAUUUAUUGUGU